UACAGAGGUCCCAAGCGUUGUCCGGAGUUACUGGGCGUAAAGGGCACGCAGGCGGUUGUGUCAGUUUGCGGGGACAGUGGGUGGCUUAACUGCCCAAGGGUCGCAAAGACGGCACGACUGGAGAGCGAGAGAGGGACCUGGAACUCCGGGUGGAGCGGUGAAAUGCGUAGAGAUCCGGAAGAACACCACUGGCGCAGGCAAGGUCCUGGCUCGUAUCUGACGCUGAGGUGCGAAAGCUAGGGGAGCGAACGGG
rnacentral:rRNA from 1 species